GGAGCACCUGAAUGACGCAGGUGCUCAUUAGAGGAAGCCCUCUGAAGAAUAGACACACCUCUGAAGGAGCCCAGCUCAGAAGAGACAGUCACAUGAGAUGAUGCCUUGGAAAGUCCUGGACUCUGCUGCCAAUGAGCCAAACCUUCCCAUGGUCCCUCAGCUGAAAGAUUCCACAAAGCACACCCAAACUAUAAAAGAACCAGCAACAGCACACCUAUGCUGCUCAGUCUUCUGGAUUUCUGUGCUGGAAGGAGCAUCUGGGGUCUUCUAAAGAUCUGAGCCUUCCAUCUGUGGAUCAUGAUUUCCAUCUUUAUUCCCAUGGACAUGGAUACACAAGUGCCACAUGCAGCUGUCAUCCCACAUUUGGCUACUGAGCUAAUGUAGAUUGCUGAUGUUCUGCAGGCAGAAACUAACUGGAAUAUUCCAAGAGCUAUAAAGGAGCAGCCAUUUGAUUUAACUUAUUUACCAUGGAAAAAUCUAAUCUUGGGGUCUAGUUUAAUGUUGGAUUGACUUUCAGCCAACAUAAGAAACCACCUACAGAGACACGAAGAAAAGGAUCCUGUCAGCCCAUAUGCUUUUACAAGAUGCACCUCACUGUGUGCUCAAGGAGUUAAUUAAUUAUUCAGACAUCUUCAAGCACAACACCAGGCAACUUUACAGAGCUCACAAGAAGUGAAACUUCUGGACAAGACUCUGGCAAUAAUCUGUUGAUGACAACUGGGUCAGAGCAGGGACUUGCUGAAAUCCUUGGUAGCCUGAGAAUAUCUGGUACUGUGGAGUGGCUGUGGGGCAAGUGAGCAGCUGGCCACAGGGGAUGAGAGAGGGUGGGAGCAGCACUGACUCUGCUCAGCUCUCUUGCAAUUUCUCUCCAGGGAAAUGCAAGAGAAGAGUGAAAAAGAUGCCACUUCUCCUUGAUAUUCAGAGCAUUUUUGUGGUUAUGAUGUAUGUGGCCAUUACCUUGUGAGAUAGGGUUUGGUUUUUUUAAAAUUGGGAUAACUUGGAAGCAAGUAUUUGUUUGUCUGUUAAUGGCUCCUAGAUGAGAUUCACAAAUAGUAAAAUAUUUGAUGUUGAAUUGUUUAGGAAGGAAAAAAUAAAAUCUAAGCUACUUUCA